rnacentral:rRNA from 1 species
UACGAACUGUGCGAACGUUAUUCGGAAUCACUGGGCUUAAAGGGUGCGUAGGCGGCUGCCUAAGUCAGGUGUGAAAUCUCCCGGCUCAACCGGGAAACUGCGCUUGAUACUGGGCGGCUCGAGUGAGGUAGGGGUGUGUGGAACUUCCGGUGGAGCGGUGAAAAUGUGUAGAUAUCGGAAGGAACGCCAGCAGCGAAAGCGGCACACUGGGCCUUUUCUGACGCUGAGGCACGAAAGCCAGGGGAGCGAACGGG